rnacentral:rRNA from 1 species
AUUGAACGCUGGCGGCAGGCCUAACACAUGCAAGUCGAGCGGAUGAGAGGAGCUUGCUCCUUGAUUUAGCGGCGGACGGGUGAGUAAUGCCUAGGAAUCUGCCUGGUAGUGGGGGAUAACGUUCCGAAAGGAACGCUAAUACCGCAUACGUCCUACGGGAGAAAGCAGGGGACCUUCGGGCCUUGCGCUAUCAGAUGAGCCUAGGUCGGAUUAGCUAGUUGGUGAGGUAAUGGCUCACCAAGGCGACGAUCCGUAACUGGUCUGAGAGGAUGAUCAGUCACACUGGAACUGAGACACGGUCCAGACUCCUACGGGAGGCAGCAGUGGGGAAUAUUAGACAAUGGGCGAAAGCCUGAUCCAGCCAUGCCGCGUGUGUGAAGAAGGUCUUCGGAUUGUAAAGCACUUUAAGUUGGGAGGAAGGGCAGUAAGCUAAUACCUUGCUGUUUUGACGUUACCGACAGAAUAAGCACCGGCUAACUUCGUG